CAAGUUUAUAAUUCUUAAUGUGUAAUUUUUAGGAAAAGCAAGGGCAUAGGACACAGAAGAGAUGUCCUGCAACAUACAUCAGCACUUGACUGUGACACACAAGGUCUCAGACCCGAAGGACAGAAAGAUUCUUCUGAGCCAGCACUCCAACAGGUAAUUCUUUCUCCGAUAGAGCUUUCUAACAUGAUGUGCUUCACAGAAAGCUUUCUGCAUCAAGAUACAGCGGACCUCUAAACUGCCCCAUGUGCCCAGCAAGAGAGCUGACUCACCUUGAUCAGCAUUUAGUAAAAUUCCACAAACCGCAGGCCACUGAAAUGAAGGAAAGAAUAAAAGCAGCAAAGAAAAUGUGCAUUAACAAAAAAUUGGCUAAUUAUCACAAACAGCAGGCAACUGGCAGCAUAACAGAGGUCACUAUGCUGAAGGAGAUAAUCAGAAAGAAACAAAGGAAAAUUUAUUUUCUAAGGGCUCAGCUAAAAGGGCAAAAAAUAAAGAGCUUAAAUAACAGAGGAUCUCAGGACUUCUCCAGUGUUGGGGAAAGAUCUGUUCAUUUCAGUCAGCCAAAUGACAAAAAAAGUGGAGGCAAAAGAAAGAAAAAACAACCAUCCUCACCUCAUUCUUCCAGUGAUGCUGAAACACAAUGCUGCCCCAAACAAGCUGUGGAAAAACCUGGAAAAAAAAGAGCCACCUCGCCAUCAGCAGAUACUUCCAGUGAUGAUGACACAUCUUCCAGCUUCAGAGACUCUGUAGAAAGACCUGUACAGCAAGGAAUAAAAAAAAGAAAAUGUGUUUCAUCCUCACCAGAUUAUUCCAGUGAUGAUGAAACCUUUACUCGACUCAAAACUCCUGCACAGCACCCUGGAAGAAAAGGAAAGUUCACAUGAACAAUCUUUUCGACAUGUUCACAUCAGCCAAUCCAUUAUGAAGUUGGUCUUUUCCACACUGUCCAUGGAGCUCAAGUCACUGAGCAAACAAAUAGCU